GACAAUGAGAAUACAGUUUCCUCCGAAAAAAUCUUAGGCUGAUCUUGGAAGAAAGACCCCCUGGAUCAUCUAAAAAUAAAGUUUUCUAUUUAAAGGUUGGUUUUAAUGUUCAUUAUAGCCCCAUUUGCUACCAGAAAAUGGUUUGCCUUUGUGUUUUAAACAUAAGGAAUCAAUGUAACGCCUUAUACCUGAUAACGUGUGCUGUUGUAUUUGGUCCUCCCUACAGCUCUGUCCAUAGAUAUUAUUGUUGCCACUUUAUAGAUGAAAAGAAGGAAGCAAAACCAUUAAGUGCCUUCCCCAAGGUCUUAAAAGAAGUCACCAAGAAGGUGGUCUGGCUCAAGUCUCCUGACCCCAGUUUACUAUUCCCCACAAUAAUGUUGGAAAACCACAUUGGAACGGGAAGACUCAUUCCAAGUACUGCUGUCACACCAGCAAGCUUCAAAGAAGCCUGAGGGGAGAUGUCUGGCCAUGUUGCUGGUGCCUUCGCCCUCAAGAAGCCAAACAGGCUCUCAGAGUCUCUCAGGCCCUGCCCCCGGACGUGGCCACGCCCCAGAGCAUGCUGGGCAGGACCUCCCCAUAGAAAUCCCUCCCAGUGCCAAUGUAUUCCACCAGAGGAUUCUGAGCUCUGCUUGGUGUUUCCAGCGGUGAUGAGAGUCCUGCUUUCCCAUAGGAACUGGAAUCUGGGAAAAAGGAAAACAGUACUAGAAGCAGAACAAGAGUGUGGGAUCACUCCUGGGUGGUACUGUCACCUCAUUUGGACAGUUCACUGCCUAGAUGUGCUGAGUGUGCAAAUUCUGUCUCAUUGCCUCAUCCAGUGUUUCUCUGAAUAGAAGCAAAUAUCUGGGCACCAGACGUUACUCCGCUUAGCCAUUAAACAGCUUUAACUUUGAUGACGUGGAUAUGGGUGAGCACAAGGAUCCACUUGGUCCCUUUGGUCACUUUUGCUUCAGUGAACUCAGUGGGAUGUCCAAGAAGAAACCCUUGUGUUAGGAAGAGUUCUAAGAAGGUUCCAAAGAUCCCUUCUUUUGCUAGUCACACCCUGGUAUAAACUGCUCCCCUUGAGUGUAAACUGGACCUCGUGAUUUGCUUCUGACUAAUAGAAUAAGGGAAAAGUGAUGGGAUGUCAUUUCCCUCAUUAGUUUACAAGAUUGUGCCUUCUGUCUUGCUAGCAGACUCUCUCCUGGCUUUGAUGAAGCAAGCUGCCAUGUUGGAGAGGCCUACAUGACAAGGAACUGAAGGUUGCCUCCAGCCAACUCCAGCCAACAGCCAUCCAGGAAUUGAGGCUCUCAGUCCAACAGGCCUUGAGGAACUGCAUCCAGCCAGCAACUGUAGAAGUGAUCGAAGAAGUGUGUAUUUCCCCAGUCAAGCCUUCAGAUGAGACCCCAGCCCCAGCUGACACCUUAAUUGCAGCCUUGUGAGAGACCUUGGAGCAGAGAACCCAGGUAGGCCUUGCCUACAUUCCUCACCAACAGAAACUAUGAAUUAAUAAAUACUUGGUUUUUUAAGCCA
rnacentral:lncRNA from 1 species